AUUGAACGCUGGCGGCAGGCUUAACACAUGCAAGUCGAACGAGUGGCGGACGGGUGAGUAAUGUUUGGGCAUCUACCUUAUGGAGGGGGAUAACUACUGGAAACUGUAGCUAAUACCGCGUACCAUACGCUGCGCCCAAGUGGGACUAGGUAGUUGGUGAGGUAAAGGCUCACCAAGCCGACGAUCUCUAGCUGGUCUGAGAGGAUGACCAGCCACACUGGGACUGAGACACGGCCCAGACUCCUACGGGAGGCAGCAGUGGGGAAUAUUUCGCAAUGGGGGCAAGCCUGACGCAGCCAUGCCGCGUGAAUGAAGAAGGCCUUAGGGUUGUAAAGUACUUUCAGCGGGGAGGCGUUACCCGCAGAAGAAGCAACGGCUAACUACGUGCCAGCAGCCGCGGUAAUAC
rnacentral:rRNA from 1 species